rnacentral:lncRNA from 1 species
GUUCAAGAAUGGCCUGGACCUGGGAGAAGACGCCCGCUUCCGCAUGUUCAGCAAGCAGGGAGUGUUGACUCUGGAGAUUAGAAAGCCCUGCCCCUUUGACGGGGGCAUCUAUGUCUGCAGGGCCACCAACUUACAGGGCGAGGCACGGUGUGAGUGCCGCCUGGAGGUGCGAGUGCCUCAGUGACCAGGCUGGCUCCUGGGGAUGGCCAGGUACAACCGGAUGCCAGCCCCGUGCCAGGAGCCUGGAGGGAAGUUGGGGAAACCCCUCCCUACUGUUGGAUGUAUGUGUGACAAGUGUGUCUCCUGUGCUGCGAUGGGGGAUCAGCAGGGCAGUUGUCGGGCAGUCCUGAGUGGGUGUUGCACAGACUGGUCCACAGGGCUCCUGAAGGAAGCCCCUGGAUCUUUGGGGUAAAAGGAGGGUGGCCUCAAGAAACAAUGUCUGGGGACAGGCCUUUCUGGCCUGCUAUGUCUUCCCAAUGUUUAUUGGGCAAUAAAAGAUAAGUGCAGUCACAGAG